rnacentral:lncRNA from 1 species
CACAAACAAAAUUACAUCAGACAGAGUUCAGGCCUCGGAGAAUUUUCAUGAGUACCUAUUAGCAGCUGAGUAUUCCUCUGGUUGAAUACUUGCCUGUUUUCCACCCAAAGCUUCAGGCAUCCUUACUUAGUAUUUUCAUGGGAUUACUGGGAUAGUGUGCUACUGAACUCCCUGAGAGCUUUGGCAAUGCCUUGUUGGAGAUGAGAUCAAUUAUCAGUGUCUAUUCAUGCUUGUGAAAAAUGGACAUUUGUAACUGCAAAAGCUUCUCAUUCCUCGGAAACUGCAUGCCCUCUAUCUCUCUAAGUAGCAAAAUCACAGAUUUUUAUUUGUUAUCAACUCUAAAACUAGGUCAUCUGAGUCAGUGGUUUAAUAACUGGUCACGAUAAGGACAUAGUGGUUUCCCCUCUUAAAUCAUUGGUUCAAAUCAGUACUCAGACGAUCAUUGUUGCUUACCUUUCUUGCCAUCUGGUUCAUUGGCUGUUAUCAGCUGAAAGGAACUGGUCCAGGACCCAGAGAAGAAGUGCUCCUAUCAAUAGAAAGUUCCAUCACGAUGGGGAUUUGUCCUGGGCACUUGACAAAGGCACAAGAAACCCAUAAAAUGAACGGCAGGUACUGAUGCAGAAGCUUCCACCCAGGAUCCAGGUUGCUUUCGGAAAAGAGAAAGGAGGGGUGGUAGAGGGGGAUGGCAUUCCCAGAUCUCCGCGAGGAAUUCUUCCUUGAGAUUCGUCAGUUUCCCCCAGAGACUUCCCCACAUGAAUGGGGCAUGGAGCUCGAUUUCUAUUGAACUACGUUACCCUGGAUUCUACAAAACUGGGAUUGUUGAACAUUGUGGGACAUUCGUGUCAGGCGUCACAGUCUGAAGAGAUCAGGGGCCGCACCAGGAGUGUGUUACGGCCCGCGCCUUUUUUGUUGUUGUUGGCUUGGCCAUUGCUUGCCGCCCAGUAUCGAAUUCUAUUGAAGACACGCCUAAAGUUCUUUCUCUGGAAGUGGAGAGCAUCCUUUGUCAUAAGUCCCUCAGAAAAGUCUUGGAUCACUAUAUUGAGACAUCCAAGUCCAAGGGCAAGACAAAAGUCAGGAUGACUGGAGAUGGUCCCAGAUGCAGUGAAUGACCUUGGCUUCUUUGAAUAUCCCAUGUCUAAGAGUUCUACAGUGACUGCUUCCACCAUCUUCAUGGCCACUGGAACAAAUUAUUCUCACCCACCCUUUCUGCCAGAGGAAAUCUUCCCAUGCUUGAAGUAGACUAACCCACCAAUGAGUUUGAGGCCAAUCACUUACCUUCAACCUAGCUUGAUCUGUCUGUGGAGAAAGUUUUACUGCAUUCUGGAUCAUGGACAUACCAUAGCUUCUUGGAGCCACAGGUGAAAGUUGAGUAAAAGGUGGACACCAAAGUUGGGUGAGCAGCUCUGAAAAGGCUCAGUAAGUUCUCAUACCAUUGGUGCUAAUCCUCUCUAAAUAUUCCAUACAUACCCAGUGUCAGCUUAGGUCCCUCAGACAAUAGUGGAUAAGAAAGUGAGCCUGGACAUAUCUGGUAUGCUAGUAUAGAUUGAGACUAUUCCAGCCUUUCCAAAGAAUUAACAGAAUAUUAUGGAUGUGAACUGAGGAUCAAUACCUAGACUAUUUGGCAAUCCUUGUGUCUUGUUCAGAUAAUUAAGAAAAAAGUCAAUUGAUAGAAAGGAACAUUAAAGAACAUUAAAUACUCCAUCUUUAGAGAGAGAAUCCAGAGAUAUUUAGCCUCUUGAUUCCUUAGUGCCUGAAGAAUGGAAUUCUUCAAUUCAAUUUGAG